UAAAGAUUCAUCGCUGAUAGAUAGGCAUGCGUUCCAUUAGGCAGUUGGCGGGGUAACGGCCCACCAAACCGACGAUGGAUAGGGGUUCUGAGAGGAAGGUCCCCCACAUUGGUACUGAGACACGGACCAAACUCCUACGGGAGGCAGCAGUGAGGAAUAUUGGUCAAUGGGCGUAAGCCUGAACCAGCCAAGUCGCGUGAGGGAUGAAGGUUCUAUGGAUCGUAAACCUCUUUUAUAAGGGAAUAAAGUGUGGGACGUGUCCUAUUUUGUAUGUACCUUAUGAAUAAGGAUCGGCUAACUCCGUGCCAGCAGCCGCGGUAAUACGGAGGAUCCGAGCGUUAUCCGGAUUUAUUGGGUUUAAAGGGUGCGUAGGCGGCCUUUUAAGUCAGCGGUGAAAGUCUGUGGCUCAACCAUAGAAUUGCCGUUGAAACUGGGGGGCUUGAGUAUGUUUGAGGCAGGCGGAAUGCGUGGUGUAGCGGUGAAAUGCUUAGAUAUCACGCAGAACCCCGAUUGCGAAGGCAGCCUGCCAAGCCAUGACUGACGCUGAUGCACGAAAGCGUGGGGAUCAAACAGGAUUAGAUACCCUGGUAGUCCACGCAGUAAACGAUGGUCACUAGCUGUUUGCGAUACAGUGUAA
rnacentral:rRNA from 1 species